AUAAUACCGGAUACCCCGGGGUGCCGCAUGGCACCCCGGCUAAAGCCCCGACGGGAGGGGAUGGCUCCGCGGCCCAUCAGGUAGACGGCGGGGUGACGGCCCACCGUGCCGACAACGGGUAGCCGGGUUGAGAGACCGACCGGCCAGAUUGGGACUGAGACACGGCCCAGACUCCUACGGGAGGCAGCAGUGGGGAAUCUUGCGCAAUGGGGGGAACCCUGACGCAGCGACGCCGCGUGCGGGACGGAGGCCUUCGGGUCGUAAACCGCUUUCAGCAGGGAAGAGUCAAGACUGUACCUGCAGAAGAAGCCCCGGCUAACUACGUGCCAGCAGCCGCGGUAAUACGUAGGGGGCGAGCGUUAUCCGGAUUCAUUGGGCGUAAAGCGCGCGUAGGCGGCCCGGCAGGCCGGGGGUCGAAGCGGGGGGCUCAACCCCCCGAAGCCCCCGGAACCUCCGCGGCUUGGGUCCGGUAGGGGAGGGUGGAACACCCGGUGUAGCGGUGGAAUGCGCAGAUAUCGGGUGGAACACCGGUGGCGAAGGCGGCCCUCUGGGCCGAGACCGACGCUGAGGCGCGAAAGCUGGGGGAGCGAACAGGAUUAGAUACCCUGGUAGUCCCGGCCGUAAACGAUGGACGCUAGGUGUGGGGGGACGAUCCCCCCGUG
rnacentral:rRNA from 1 species